rnacentral:rRNA from 1 species
UACGUAGGGUGCAAGCGUUGUCCGGAAUUAUUGGGCGUAAAGAGCUCGUAGGCGGUCUGUCGCGUCUGCUGUGAAAACCUGGGGCUUAACCCCGGGCCUGCAGUGGGUACGGGCAGACUAGAGUGCGGUAGGGGAGACUGGAAUUCCUGGUGUAGCGGUGAAAUGCGCAGAUAUCAGGAGGAAUACCGAUGGCGAAGGCAGGUCUCUGGGCUGACACUGACGCUCAUGCACGAAAGCGUGGGGAGCAAACAGG